rnacentral:lncRNA from 1 species
UCUCUACUCUCUCUCUUUCUCUCCGUCUCAUUCCUUCGAGCAGUAUCUCUAUUCAUCUCAUCUUUCUCUUCUAACUCCUCUCUUUCAAAACGUCUCCGUAGGUCCAUGCCAAGUACGCUUCCCCGUGGGUUUUCCUUUUUUUUUUUUAAUGCUCCAUAUUCUGUAGAAAAUCAGCUCGUUAAUAGAAAGAUCUCUUUAGAGGAUAAAAUAGAGAUUGUAAAACAUCUUCCAAGAUUGUUUGAAAAUCCCAUUUGAUCAAGAAAUUUCAUGUUGUUUUUUUGGGCUUUAUUAGCUUGGAAAUUUUAGGGGUUUAUUUUUCCAUUUUUUAUAUGUUUUGACAUGUUUUUUCUUCCAUUGUUCUGGCAGCAUUCAUUUUGAUUUUUAUGGGUAUUUUCCGGCCACUUUUUUGUUUUUUUUUUAAAGGUUUUUUUAUCAAGUUCUUUUAAGCUAUCUGUAAAACUUUUGUGCCACUUUUUUGCAGAUUUUCCAAGUUGUUUCCCUCAAUAAUUGGUUAUUUAUUUAUUUAUUUAUUUUAAUUUAUUUAAUGUUUUUUGUUUUGUUUUGCAAGGUUUCUUGUGUGUUUUUAAGGUAUUGUCAUGCCUUUCUGCUCUUUUUUUUGGAUUUUUUUCCCCACAGUUUUUCAGGUAUAUCAGGCAUAGCUUGCUUUGUUUGGGAGAGUCUAUUUUGGGUCUUUUAAUGUAAUUUUCAUUUCCUCCCUGCUGAGUUUAUUGGGGUUUCUCUCUGCUGUGCAGGUCCUUUUAGGUAGUUUUCGUUAUAUAAUUUUUUAUUUCCUCUCUGCUGUGCAGGUCCUUUCAGGUAGUUUUUCAUGCUGUUUUUCUCUGUUUUUAGGUUGUUAAGGAAUUUUUUCUAUUUAUUUCGUAGAAUCCACCCAAAAAGACUCAUGAAUGAAUUGUGAAUUUGAGAAUAGAAGGAUAAGAAAAUAACAAAUUUAAAGAUCUUAAAAAAAAGCAAUUACAUGUAAGUGUAAAUUAGGGCUCUUGUUGAUGCUUUUGUUUCAUUUUCUUUGGGAUGAACUGCUUACCGAUGCAAUGCUGGGCUUGCACUAGCCUUGGUUAGAUUUCUUGCAAUUAUGAGGGGCACGAGUUGCCAUUCCGAGAUAGGGUACUAAGGGAGCUGGCAAACAGCUUCUACUUUAGUACCCUAUGACAUUCUCUUUUUUCUAUGGAUUAAUGUUUUCUUUUGAUUUUAUAUUUGAAUUAAUAUUUGAAAGACUUAUAUAUGAUGGAUUUCCAAACUUAUAUAGAUGUACUAAAUCGCAUGUGAUUGUGUCAGUGUGG